CCCCAAAAAAAAUAAUUAAAAUGGCCUUAUUACAACCCAAAACCAAACAAUAAUAUUAAUAAGAUAAAACUUAUAAAGAAAUAAAUCGGCUACUUAUUGCAAUUAAAAGAAACAAAAACAGUAGUGUGGCCAUCUCCGAGUCCCUCGCAGCUCCAAACCAUCUAAGCUUAGGGAUUACCUGCACAAUUAGAAACGGGGUGAGUUUACGAAAACUCAGUGUGUAAUCCCAAUAACAAACAAACGGUGAAAACAUAGUAUCAGUACAAUCUGGGCCAAAGCCCUAUUUAGUCUUGACAUAUACUGGGCCGAAGUCUUUCGUUUAACGGUUACUGGUCCGAAGCCUUUUCAUAAAUCAUAUCACUGGGCCGAAGCCUUUUCAUAAAUCAUAUCAUUGGGCCAAAGCCUUUACUGUAAAUGGUAUGGCCCUUAGGCCCAUUUCAAUAUCACAUGUAAUGUCAAUGGAUGUAUGCAAGCCCAUUUCAAUAUCACAUGAAAUACCAAUGAAUGUAUGCAAGCCCAUUUGGGGAGACUACUCAACCCACCAUCUACUACUCUCCACCCAUACCAACCAACACACCAUGUGGGGAAUAACUCAACCCACCCAUCCAACACACCACUGGCAGCAUAGCUGCUUUAUCAUAUAUCUGGAGGCCUAGCCUCUUUAAUAACUGGGGCAAAGCCCUUUUUGGUAAACUAGGGCAAAGCCCUUUUUGGUAAACUGGGGCAAAGCCUUUUUCAAUAAACUGGGGCAUAAGCCCUUUUCGGUAAACUGGGGCAUAAGCCCUUUUCAAUAAACUGGGGCAUAAGCCCUUUUCAAUAAACUCCAUCCAUAUAAAAACCCAACCCAAUGCAACAUGUCAUGUAUGCAGAAUGUCAUGCCCAUAUUUGAAUAAACAAUCACAGUCAAGUCAUUCAUAUCACCAACAUAUAUUCACAAUCAAUCCGUCAUCCACACAGUCCAAGUCAGUCAUUUGCCCACAAGGGCAAAACAGUCAUUUUUCACAUUAUAAGGGUAUUUUCAUAAUUUUACCAAAUAUCAGGGUUUUCCAUGUUCAUUACAAUUAUUAAUAUUUUUGAGUGUUUAAACAAUGAUCUUUAACCUACUUUAUCAAAUUCGGGCUUUUGGGCCAAAACCUCUAAUGGGCCCUACGAAUGUUGAUUUAGCCUACUUAACCCAAAUUUUACAACAAUACUAACUGUGUUAACGUGUAACUUUUCCAAAUUCCAUUUUCUAUCAAUUCUACCCAAAUGGGUCCGAAAGCCCAUUGGGCCCAAUUUCAGCCCAUUGAGGCCCAACUUACCAUCGUGCACAAAAUUGAGUUCUUACAUGUUCCAUCGAUCCAAACACCGAUCUUAUCGUAUUUAUCGCAUCUAUACCCAAACGCAACAUCACAAGUUCCUGAAAUACUUGUAUUUUAGCAUUUCGGCUUCUCAGCAAAUAUUAAUCUAAGCUAUUACGAGGGUUAGUACACACCUGUUACGGGUUGAAGUUGAAACGUUUCCAAAAUUAAUCGCCUACGAUAACCACCACCUGUCACUCAAACUUAACUAAUCCAAUAUCAAUAUAUGUAAAUCCUAAGCACAUCAGUCAUACGGAACAUAAGGGCAUAUUCGUCAUUUUACCAUAUAGGGGUAUUACGGUCACUUUACCCUACAGGGGCUUUACGGUCUCUUUACCUUACAGGGGCUUUACGGUCUUUUUACCUAAUAGGGGCAUUUUAGUCAUUUCAUCCUACAAGGGUGUUUUGGUAAAUCUACAAACCAAGGGUAUUUCAGUAAUUUUGUAAACCAAUGGUAUUUCCAUAAUUUUUAGAAAGUCAAGGGUAUUUCUAUAACUUUGUAAAUCAGGGGUAUUUUGGUAAUUUUACAAAUUGAGGGUAUUUUAGUAAUUUCACAAACCAGUGGUAUUUUGGUAAUUUUACAAACUAGGGGUAUUUUGGUAAUUUUACAAAUUGAGGGUAUUUCGGUAAUUUUACAAACCAGGGGUAUUUUAGCAAUUUUAUAGACUAGGGUAUUUUGGUAAUUUUACUGAUCGAGGGUAUUUUGGUAAUUUCGUAAACCAAGGGCAUUUUAGUAAUUCUGUAAAUCGAGGGUAAAACGGUAAUUCUAUAAAUCGAGGGUAAAACGGUAAUUCUAUAAAUCGAGGGUACUUUGGUAAUUUUACAAUUUGAGGGUAUUUUAGUAAUUUGGUAAACUAAAGUAUUCUAAACAGGGAUAACAAUACGAAUGGGCCUAAAGCAUAUUCUCGGCCUAAAUGGGCCCACACACUCGUGUGGCCUUUUUAGGCCAAAUCUAGCCACAGAUAUGAGAUUCACCUAACCUAGUCUAAUAUUUACUACACAAUCAAACAACUUAUCCAAUUGGGCCUGUAGGCCCAUUGGGCCCACAUGACCCCUUUCGGUCCAUCACGGCCCGAAGUAGCCAUCCUACAGCUAGAGUAGCGAGAAAUACACACCUGAUUGGCGGCUGGAGUUAAUCCAAGCUCCGAGCACUCUUAGCCGACGCCCAACCCAAACGAGCAUGCCAUACAGCGAAAGGGAUCUG
rnacentral:lncRNA from 1 species